CUUAUCUAGUCCAGGCGACCACAUCUGGGCGAAGAGACGAAGCUCGAGGGAGGACGGAGAAGGGGGGCGGAGCGGAGAUGAUCAUCACGGCGGCCCUGGAGGAGUGGAUAGGGCACAUGGCGGCGGGGGAUGCGGCGAAGAUGGCCCGCUUCAGAGAGAUCUGCGGGUGGUUCCCCGACAUGGACACGCUCCACGACGCGGCGAUUGGGAUCACGGUCUUGGCGACGGAGGCGGAGCGGGCGAGGAUGCUUGGAGAUGGGGCUCCUCCUAUCAAGAUCCUCCAUUGGGCUAUGAUGGAGGCGGAGUCGCCGGAUCCGCGGCAGAGGAGGAGAUGGGCUGCAUAUAGAUCUCGUGUGUCGUCUCCCCCAAAUCCAGCGGAGUUUGUGGUGGGGGCGGUCAUGGUGAUCCUUGUACCGGGGCUGGUGGAGCAGCGGAUGCCGGGGAUGGGAGGAAUCGCCGUGCCUGCACCAAGGAGGGGGAGAGGUGUGCGCCCGAUUCAGAUGUCGCGCCGCUCGCCUCGCUUCCCUCGGCGCUCGGCGAGGAUUCGUGCACUUGCUCGCGGGUCUGGCGGGCAGUAGGAGUCACUCCGGACGGUACCCACUUAUGGGUGCUAGCCGGAGUAGAUUCCGAUGAGGAAUCUUCUGCAGUGUGCGAUAAACAGGGAAAAUCAAAGGGAGUUGAAGUGGGGAGUAAGGCUUCUAGAGCGAGUAUCAAGUGAAAAUUAUAGCACUUCAAGAAGAUGGAACCCGAGAGUGAUGAGACUUACUGGUGCACAUCUUGCUCUUGAAGAUGGUGUCAUUUCUACUAUUGUCUUGCUCUAUCUUUAAUCCUGCUUUUACUUUGUUUAUGUUUCUACAUGCACUUUUCUUCUCUUUUGGGAGCAAGACGGUGUUGGUUGUUGCCUGUAAUAGACUCUCUAUGAUGUUUAACAAUGUCUCUUUCUUUUG